rnacentral:rRNA from 1 species
GACAGAGGCCUCAAGCGUUUAGGCGGAAUCACUGGGCUUAAAGCGUGUGUAGGCGGAUCGUUAAGUGUCUUGUGAAAUCCCACGGCUCACCCAUGGAACGGCUGGGCAUACUGGCGAUCUUGGGCCAACUAGGGGCAACUGGAACAAGCGGUGGAGCGGUGAAAUGCGUAGAUAUCAGGAGGAACACCGGCGGUGUAGACGGCUUUCGUGGACCGUAGCUGACGCUGAGACACGAAAAGCGUGGGUAGCAAACAGG